rnacentral:rRNA from 1 species
UACAGAGGUCCCAAGCGUUGUUCGGAUUCACUGGGCGUAAAGCGCGCGUAGGCGGCUUUGCAAGUCGGGUGUGAAAUCCCCAGGCCUAACCUGGGAACUGCAUUCGAGACUGCAUGGCUAGAGUAUCGGAGAGGGAAGUGGAAUUUCAGGUGUAGCGGUGAAAUGCGUAGAUAUCUGAAGGAACAUCAGUGGCGAAAGCGACUUCCUGGACGAAUACUGACGCUCAUGUGCGAAAGCGUGGGGAGCAAACAGG